UCCAUGAACCUUGGCGGUGUCCUCAUGAG
rnacentral:piRNA from 1 species